AUGAACGCUAGCUACAGGCUUAACACAUGCAAGUCGAGGGGCAGCGGGAUUGAAGCUUGCUUCAAUUGCCGGCGACCGGCGCACGGGUGAGUAACGCGUAUCCAACCUUCCGUACACUCAGGGAUAGCCUUUCGAAAGAAAGAUUAAUACCUGAUAGUAUCUUAAGCACACAUGUAAUUAAGAUUAAAGAUUUAUCGGUGUACGAUGGGGAUGCGUUCCAUUAGGUAGUAGGCGGGGUAACGGCCCACCUAGCCAACGAUGGAUAGGGGUUCUGAGAGGAAGGUCCCCCACAUUGGAACUGAGACACGGUCCAAACUCCUACGGGAGGCAGCAGUGAGGAAUAUUGGUCAAUGGACGAGAGUCUGAACCAGCCAAGUAGCGUGAAGGAUGAAGGUCCUACGGAUUGUAAACUUCUUUUAUAAGGGAAUAAACCCUCCCACGUGUGGGAGCUUGUAUGUACCUUAUGAAUAAGCAUCGGCUAACUCCGUGCCAGCAGCCGCGGUAAUACGGAGGAUGCGAGCGUUAUCCGGAUUUAUUGGGUUUAAAGGGAGCGCAGACGGGUCGUUAAGUCAGCUGUGAAAGUUUGGGGCUCAACCUUAAAAUUGCAGUUGAUACUGGCGUCCUUGAGUGCGGUUGAGGUGUGCGGAAUUCGUGGUGUAGCGGUGAAAUGCUUAGAUAUCACGAAGAACUCCGAUUGCGAAGGCAGCACACUAAUCCGUAACUGACGUUCAUGCUCGAAAGUGUGGGUAUCAAACAGGAUUAGAUACCCUGGUAGUCCACACGGUAAACGAUGGAUACUCGCUGUUGGCGAUAUACUGUCAGCGGCUUAGCGAAAGCGUUAAGUAUCCCACCUGGGGAGUACGCCGGCAACGGUGCAACUCAAAUGAAUUGACGGA
rnacentral:rRNA from 1 species